GGCUGGUCUUGAACCUGUCCAAGAUGUUUAUGAUAAUGAAAGAGGUGAUCAAGGUGAUAGGGCAGAAAGAGAUGACAAGUUAAGUGAUGAAGACGAAAGUGAUGGGGAGGAAGAAAUCGCCCACUCUGUACCAUUCAAGUGCAUCGGUGCUGCUCAUGAGAAAAACUACUGACAUCAUUUGGAAAAUUAAGGCAUAAUACCUCGCUCUUCAUGAACAAGAUAAAACAGUGAAUUCAAUGUAAGAAUACGGCCAGCACCAUUGAAUCCAAGGGACCCAAGUGCAAUAGCCAAUUCCAGCUUUUAGAUUAUGUGUGCAGGGGGUGAUGGUAUCAUAUUGCUGAUAAUGCUGAAAAAUAGAAAUGGUAGCCAUGUAAACAUGGAGUGAUAGCUAUUGUAAAUAUUGAAAUAUUUUGGUUGUUUAGGCAGUUUAUUAAAAAUUUUCAGCAUAAUCAGGAAUAUGAUACCUUACUUCCCGUCACCCCCUCCAUGCAUAAAUUAAAAGCUGGAAUUGCCUAUUGAUCUAGACUAUGGAACUGUAUGGACACAUGUUGUUUAUAUUGCUUCUGAACUAUGCAAGUAUUUGCACCCACUAAUUGCUGCAGGAGAUGUCCUGGAUGUCUAUGUUCUGUGUAUCAAGUAUAGGGUUGACUUUUUUAAAAUAGGAUUUUAUCCAAAAAUUUUCAUAAAGACACCUGGUGAGUGGAGACUCGAGUAGUAGGAAAAAGCAUGAGUGUAUGUUGACAUAUGUUUUUUAUAUAAUAAAUAGCAACUACCAUAGGUAUGUUUAGCAAGUUAUUAGUGCAUUUAUUUCAAUUGGCUAAC